AUGCGGAUCUCGAAAGCCUGUCCCAGUUCGGACUGGAGUCUGCAACCCGACUCCACGAAGUUGGAUUCGCUAGUAAUCGCGCAUCAGCCAUGGCGCGGUGAAUACGUUCCCGGGCCUUGUACACACCGCCCCGUCAAGCCAUGGGAGCCGGGGGGCGCCUGAAGUCCGGGACCGCGAGGACCGGCCUAGGGCGAAACUGGUAACUGGGGCUAAGUCGUAACAAGGUACC
rnacentral:rRNA from 1 species